CAACCCCAACAACGUCAACCUGCAGAAGGAAAGGCCAGUUUUCCUUCAAUUGAAGGUCAUGGAGAUCAUUACGUGUCAUGCAAUGGUGAAGAGGUUGGGUGCGAACGACACGUGUUGCACCAUUAUCAAGCAGGUAAAAUAGCCGCAAGACUUAGGGGGUGAGGGUGAGAAAAAAAUCGUAUAAAAGGAGAGAGAAAAUGCUACAGAAAUCAGUCGAGUGAGGAUCUCCGACACGAGAACAACUGCUGCACUAUUGGUCUCCAACUGCCUUCUUCAUCGCAUUAUCAGUUCGCAAUCAUGGUCAACUGUGGGUCGUGCUGCUGUUGGGUGUUUUGUUGAUGGCUGGGGAGACCACGGGACUACCGAUGUCUUCUGAGUAUGGUGGAUACCAAACAUCAACGCCGCCGCCUUACUGCACAACGCAGUCAACAUACGCAACAUCUACUUACUACACCGACGCUUUCAAGUACUUCUCUUCAAGCUACUACAAAACUGAGGCUCCUGUUUACUACACCAAGGCCACCGAGUAUUACACUACAACCAAAUGUUAACUAUGGCGUCGUGCUGCUGUUGGUUGUUGUAUCCUUGAUGAUUGGGUCGACUACGGGUGAACCGAUGUCUCGUGGGUAUGUCGGAGACCAAACCGCAACGCAGCCGUCUUACUGCACGACAAAAACAUACGCAAUAACCAGAUACUACACCGCCAAGGCCCCAGAGUAGUGCACCACAACUUAUGAUGUUCUGAACUACUACACUGAAGCCCCA
rnacentral:misc_RNA from 1 species